rnacentral:rRNA from 1 species
AUUGAACGCUGGCGGCAUGCUUUACACAUGCAAGUCGGACGGCAGCACAGAGAAGCUUGCUUCUUGGGUGGCGAGUGGCGAACGGGUGAGUAACAUAUCGGAACGUACCGAGUAAUGGGGGAUAACUAAUCGAAAGAUUAGCUAAUACCGCAUAUUCUCUGAGGAGGAAAGCAGGGGACCUUCGGGCCUUGCGUUAUUCGAGCGGCCGAUAUCUGAUUAGCUAGUUGGUGGGGUAAAGGCCUACCAAGGCGACGAUCAGUAGCGGGUCUGAGAGGAUGAUCCGCCACACUGGGACUGAGACACGGCCCAGACUCCUACGGGAGGCAGCAGUGGGGAAUUUUGGACAAUGGGCGCAAGCCUGAUCCAGCCAUGCCGCGUGUCUGAAGAAGGCCUUCGGGUUGUAAAGGACUUUUGUCAGGGAAGAAAAGGUUGUUGCUAA